ACGGGUGAGUAACACGUAGGCAACCUGCCUGCAAGACCGGGAUAACCCACGGAAACGUGAGCUAAUACCGGAUAUCUCAUUUUCUCUCCUGAGGGAAUGAUGAAAGACGGAGCAAUCUGUCACUUGCGGAUGGGCCUGCGGCGCAUUAGCUAGUUGGUGAGGUAACGGCUCACCAAGGCGACGAUGCGUAGCCGACCUGAGAGGGUGAACGGCCACACUGGGACUGAGACACGGCCCAGACUCCUACGGGAGGCAGCAGUAGGGAAUCUUCCGCAAUGGGCGAAAGCCUGACGGAGCAACGCCGCGUGAGUGAUGAAGGUUUUCGGAUCGUAAAGCUCUGUUGCCAGGGAAGAACGUCCGGUAGAGUAACUGCUAUCGGAGUGACGGUACCUGAGAAGAAAGCCCCGGCUAACUACGUGCCAGCAGCCGCGGUAAUACGUAGGGGGCAAGCGUUGUCCGGAAUUAUUGGGCGUAAAGCGCGCGCAGGCGGUCAUUUAAGUCUGGUGUUUAAGGCCAAGGCUCAACCUUGGUUCGCACUGGAAACUGGGUGACUUGAGUGCAGAAGAGGAGAGUGGAAUU
rnacentral:rRNA from 1 species